GUACUUUUUUUGGACUGAACCAUCAUUGCUAACCACUAUAGAGGUUAUGUUUUUUGAUUUGCCCUUUAAUUAGUCUCCUGUCUUACUGUAAAGUUUACAAUUUAUAUGAAAUUAAUCUGUUUCUAUACAUUAAGAAACAGAUAAACAUUGUUUUAAGGAAAUCUUCUUUGUGUCUGCAGAUUGAACCUGCUUACAAAAACUCAUUCCCUUCUUCCUUUGUCUCCUUGGCCGUUGUGAGCUUCAGGUAAUUUCAGUAUUUUGACAUAUAAUGUUAAGAGCACUGACCUAACGCCCUAAAUAUUCAAAACUAUUGUUUUUGUGUCUGCAUUUACAGGCGGGGAUCAGUCGUCAACACCAUAGAACUUCAGUUUGUAAACUCAUCUGUUCCAAAUGACACUGAGAUUAGAAGUGUUUUGAUCAGUCAAGCCUCAAACGUGACAGGCUUUGACACUGAAAUGACCUCCAUCAGUGACAUUGCUCCAACAACUACCACAGUGACUCCUACAACAACAUCUCCUCCCACAACUACCACCACAGCUACAACAACUACCAGAAUAGUACCCACAACAACAUCUGCUCCAACAACUAACACCACAGCUGCAACAACUACCACAGUAGUACCACAACAACAUCUGCUCCAACAACCACCACAGUAGUACCCAGAACAACAACAUCUCCUCCCACAACUACCACCACAGCUACAACAACUACUACAGUGGUACCCACAACAACAACAUCUGCUGCAACAACUACCACAGUAGUACCCACAACAACAUCUGCUCCAACAACUACCACAGUACUACCCACAACAACAUCUGCUCCAACAACUACCACCACAGCUCCAACAACAACAUCUGCUCCAACAACUACCACCACAGCUGCAGCAACUACCACAGUAGUACCCACAACAACAACAUUUGCUCCAACAACUACCACAGCACCUCCAAAAACCGCUACUACUCCUCUAAGUAGUCCCACAUCUGCUCUAACAAUCACAACAGCAGGAACACCGACCACAUCUGUAGCCACAACCACCAGACCUCUGACAAUUAGAUAUGUUGUUUUCAAAUCCAUUCAAGGCAUUUUUACAGCAGACUUGUUGAAUUCAUCAUCUAAAGCUUUUAAAAAUCGAUCUUCAUCAAUAAAGAAACAGAUUGAACCUGCUUACAAAAACACGUUCCGUU
rnacentral:lncRNA from 1 species